rnacentral:rRNA from 1 species
UACGAAGGGUGCUAGCGUUGUUCGGAAUCACUGGGCGUACAGCGCGCGUAGGCGGCUUUCUAAGUCAGGGGUGAAAUGCCGGGGCUUAACCCCGGAACUGCCCUUGAAACUGGAGAGCUGGAGUGUCGGAGGGGAUAGCGGAAUUUCUAAUGUAGCGGUGAAAUGCGUAGAUAUUAGAAGGAACACCGGUGGCGAAGGCGGCUAUCUGGACGACAACUGACGCUGAGGCGCGAAAGCGUGGGGAUCAAACAGG